rnacentral:rRNA from 1 species
UACAGAGGGGGCAAGCGUUGUUCGGAAUUACUGGGCGUCAAGGGCGCGUAGGCGGCCUUCUAAGUCGAACGUGAAAUCCCUGGGCUCAACCCAGGAACUGCGUCCGAUACUGGAAGGCUUGAAUCCGGGAGAGGGAUGCGGAAUUCCAGGUGUAGCGGUGAAAUGCGUAGAUAUCGGGAGGAACAUCAGUGGCGAAGGCGGCUACCUGGCCCAAUACUGACACUCAGGUGCGACAGCGUGGGGAGCAAACAGG